rnacentral:lncRNA from 1 species
CCGAAAUUUCGCUACUUCGCAGUACUGGUUUAUAAAACAUUUACAAGCAACAGCAAUUGAACUAUAUGACAAAGAAACCAAUGUAUACAAGCCAAUCAAGUUCUUCAGUUUAAAGGUCUGUUUACUUUUUAAUAAUUAGUUCAUUUAGUUGUACAUUAAUACGAAGUACUGGAACAGUACGCCUAAUCGCAGAAUAGGAAGGUAUACCGUAUUUACUCGUUUAAGCGGCGCGGCGCUCUUUAAAUUUUCGGAGCUUCAGAUGCGGCGCUCAUUCGGGGGCGGCGGUCAAUGGGGGGCGGCGCUCUUUAAAAAAUAUUUUAUUUGUGAAUUAUGACAAGAACUUUUAACUAUAAAAUAGACAAGUUUUAAAAGGUUUUUGUUACUAAAUGUCCCCAUUUUGAUACUGUUUAGUGCGGCGCUCAUUCGAGGGCGGCGCUCUUUUAAAAAAAAUGAUCUCAAAUGCGGCGCUCUUUUAAAAAAAAUGAUCUCAAAUGCGGCGCUCUUUAAAAAAAAAUGAUCUCAAAUGCGGCGCUCAUUCGGGGGGGGGCCCUCAAUCGGGGGCGGGUACCCAUUGAACUAAAAAUAACUGGAACAAUACCUCCAGCCGGAAAUGUGAAGCCAUGCCCAGGCAUGCCCACUGUUGUCAUGCCCAGUCUUUUCACGUAACAGAAAUGAACGCGGGUUUUUUAAAUUUCCAAAACUGGGUAAAAAAAUGCACUAAAACAUGAUUUAAAACGACGUAAAAUGCACCUACCAGUACAUUUUUUACAAUAAAAACAUCCUUCAAAACUCUAGAGUAAAAUAUUUUUAAUUUAUUUGUGUAGAAUUCAUAAUUAAAUUUCCUUUCUUGAUAACUUUAACACAUUUCUUUGCGUUUAAUAUUUGAACGUUUGGUUACGUUGCAUUAGAUCGGAACAAUGAAAUCUGGACGUUUUGAGUGUGAAAUUGUAAAUGGUAUAUAUCGUGUCGACUGUCGACAAGCACUCUACUCAUAUAUGUUUCAAAACUCGGCAAACGCAAGCUUGCUAUUGGUCUAUAUAUGUAUAUGAACUUGAAUUACAGGAGCGAAACGCUUGAAAAUAUGAAAAAUUGCUAAUACAAAACCAUGUGCUUGACAGUCAACACGAUAUAUACCAUUACAAUUUCACACUCAAAACGUCCAGAUUUUAUUGUUCCGAUCUAAUGCAACGUAACCAAACGUUCAAAUAUUAAACAUAAAGAAAUGCGUUAAAGUUAUCAAGUUUUACGGUUGAAUGAGAAUAAUAUAAACAUUCAUAUAAUAUCAAUACCUCUACAUCGUGUCUUUGUCCAUUUCGACUAUGGCUUGGCGGGAAUUUGUAAAAUAUCCCUAAUUCACCCCCAGUCUGCAUUUUAUACCCCCAGUCUGCAUUUUAUACCCCCAGUCUGCAUUUUGUACCCGGUCUGCAGUCUGCAGAUUAUACUGACCGCUUACGGUAGCCAUUAAUUUUGGAGGUUGGUAAAUUCGUUCUUAAUUAAAGUUUUUUGUAACAGGUUAGAGAGAAAACAUUUCGACAAGUUUACAAGCGAGAUCUUGCUGAUUUAUGAAAAUCCUGAAAAGUUACACUGCGGCGCUAUACCAUGCCCAAAAUAAGCAGUUUGUGGAAAAAUAUUGAAAGCAUGUGUGCUAUCAUACCCUGGAUUCCAGAGCCUUCGACAAUAAAUAAUAAAUUGAAACAUUGCGAAGGCUCUGGUUCAACGGGAAGCUUCUUUGAUUAAACUGCGCCAAUCACAAAACAGAAUUAGUGGUUUUAGUAAUUAGUACAGAUUCUGUACUAACAGCACUAAUUCUGUUCUGUGAUUGACACGGUUUAUAAAUCAAAGAAUCUUCCUGUUGAACCAGAGCUUUUGCAAUGUUUCAAUUUAUUAUUUGCUGUCAAAGGCUUUGGAAUCCAGGGUAGUGCUAUCGUAACAAAAGAGGAACAUUUGUUUGCUUUUUGAAAUGAAAUAGAACAUAUAAUUAUAUCAUUUUAAUGACUUGCUUCCGAUUUUCAGAGAGGUCUUGGAAACAUUACUAAUUGUUGAUACUUUUGAAAUAUUCAGCAACUUGCCGAUGAAAUUUUUAUAAAAUAUUGCCAUAAAAUAUAUAACAUUCUAAGGCUAUAUAUAUAUUGAUACUAUUGAUACUAUAGUGCUGUUCCAACGUACAAUAAUGUGAAAAAAAGAAAAGAAAAAAAGAGAUGAAAAAGUUUUUUCAUCAAGUGAGAAAAAUUUCCGGAGAAACUUUCCAAAAUUGUUGUCGCUCCAAUAUUGUUUAGGUCCAUUUUUUUAAGUAUUUUAUAAAGCGUAUGCUAUGUAUGUGCUAAGAAGGUAGUUUUGUUGGCAUGUGGAAAGCAAAAGUAGCGAAGGUAAAGAGAUUAAAAUUGGAUUUAGUGCGUAUUUUUGAAAAAAUUUUACCACCAAAUAUGGUAGUCCUCCCCCCCCCCCGUCGAUGACACUUGUGACGUCAGGUACAUACGGGACUUUGGAGGCGGGUUUUGGCGGGAAAAUCUGUAAUGUUUGGAGAAGACAAGAUGGCGCUGGUUACCUCGUGUUAUAUCAAACGGCAUUUUUGUUCACAAAUACCCGCUUAUUUUACGUUAUAGCGACUGGUUCGUUUUGGAAAUUAUAACUCAAUGGACGGGGAAAAUGAUUCUGUAUUAAAAAGAAAAUGAUGUGCAGUUAUUGUGAUGUUAUUUGUUGUGAAAGACGGCCCGAAAUUUCGCUACUUCGCAGUACUGGUUUAUAAAACAUUUACAAGCAACAGCAAUUGAACUAUACGACAAAGAAACCAAUGUAUACAAGCCAAUCAAGUUCUUCAGUUUAAAG